rnacentral:lncRNA from 1 species
UCGGCGGCCGAACCUGACUUUUGCCCGUUGGGCAGAAACUUGCUCUGUUUCAUGCAAAACUUACCCAAACCUUACUCAACAUGCAUAUCAACUACUCCCAACUAGCAUAUCCACAUAGAUAUGCACAAAGGGGUCUAAAACUAUCCUAAAACCCCAAACAAACACAACUAACAACACUUAAACAUGCUUCAACUCAAAGAUCAUCAAAAACCUCACCUAAACCUAAACAUGCAUACUACCCAUACAAACUUCAUAAAACCUUC